rnacentral:rRNA from 1 species
CAGGCCUAACACAUGCAAGUCGAGCGGGCGUAGCAAUACGUCAGCGGCAGACGGGUGAGUAACGCGUGGGAACGUACCUUUUGGUUCGGAACAACACAGGGAAACUUGUGCUAAUACCGGAUAAGCCCUUACGGGGAAAGAUUUAUCGCCGAAAGAUCGGCCCGCGUCUGAUUAGCUAGUUGGUAGGGUAAUGGCCUACCAAGGCGACGAUCAGUAGCUGGUCUGAGAGGAUGAUCAGCCACAUUGGGACUGAGACACGGCCCAAACUCCUACGGGAGGCAGCAGUGGGGAAUAUUGGACAAUGGGCGCAAGCCUGAUCCAGCCAUGCCGCGUGAGUGAUGAAGGCCCUAGGGUUGUAAAGCUCUUUUGUGCGGGAAGAUAAUGACGGUACCGCAAGAAUAAGCCCCGGCUAACUUCGUGCCAGCAGCCGCGGUAAU